GGAUGUGAGAGCGAACUGGCUGUGACAUUUGUCACCCCAUUGAUCGCCAGGGUUGAUUCGGCUGAUCUGGCUGGCUAGGUGGGUGUCCCCUUCCUCCCUCACCACUCCAUGAGCGUCCCUCCCGAAGCUGCACGCUCGGUCGAAGAGGACGACCAUCCCCACUAGAGGAGGACCGGUCUUCACUCAAGGGUAUACAAGUAGCUGCACUUGCCUGCUAGAACCUCCAAACAAGCUCUCAAGGUCCAGUUCUCAGAACUCCACUUCGAUACCUUUACUGGCUUUUUUAAAGGAAUGCAAAUGUGCAGUUACAU
ensembl:misc_RNA 7SK 7SK RNA